AAAGGAAUUGACGGGGGCCCGCACAAGCGGCGGAGCAUGCGGAUUAAUUCGAUGCAACGCGAAGAACCUUACCAAGGCUUGACAUGCACUGGAUCGCCACAGAGAUGUGGUUUCCCUUCGGGGCCGGUGUACAGGUGGUGCAUGGUUGUCGUCAGCUCGUGUCGUGAGAUGUUGGGUUAAGUCCCGCAACGAGCGGAACCCUUAUUCUAUGUUGCCAGCACGUUAUGGUGGGGACUCAUGGAAGACUGCCGGGGUCAACUCGGAGGAAGGUGGGGACGACGUCAAAUCAUCAUGCCCCUUAUGUCUUGGGCUUCACGCAUGCUACAAUGGCCGGCACAAUGGGUUGCGAGACUGUGAGGUUGAGCUAAUCCCAUAAAACCGGUCUCAGUUCGGAUUGGGGUCUGCAACUCGACCCCAUGAAGUAGGAGUCGCUAGUAAUCGCAGAUCAGCAACGCUGCGGUGAAUACGUUCCCGGGCCUUGUACACACCGCCCGU
rnacentral:rRNA from 1 species